CGACUCCUACGGGGGGCAGCAGUGAGGAAUAUUGGGCAAUGGGCGAGAGCCUGACCCAGCAACGCCGCGUGGAGGAAGACGGCCUUCGGGUUGUAAACUCCUUUUGACAGGGAAGAGAGAGGACGGUACCUGUCGAAUAAGUCACGGCUAACUACGUGCCAGCAGCCGCGGUAAUACGUAGGUGACAAGCGUUAUCCGGAAUUACUGGGCGUAAAGCGCACGCAGGCGGCUGCUUAAGUCUGACGUGAAAUCUCCUGGCUUAACUGGGAGGGGUCGUUGGAAACUGGGUGGCUUGAGGUGGUGAGAGGGGUGCAGAAUUCCCGGUGUAGUGGUGGAAUGCGUAGAUAUCGGGAGGAAUACCAGUGGCGAAAGCGGCACCCUGGCACUGACCUGACGCUCAUGUGCGAAAGCGUGGGGAGCAAACGGGAUUAGAUACCCCGGUAGUCCACGCUGUAAACGAUGAGUACUAGGUGUGGGUGGAGUCAAAUCCAUCUGUGCCGAAGCAAACGCGCUAAGUACUCCGCCUGGGGAGUACGGCCGCAAGGCUAAAACUCAAAGGAAUUGACGG
rnacentral:rRNA from 1 species